CUCUCACCGGUUGUUUCGGCCGAGUUUAGAAUCUGAAAACCCGAAUCUGAUCUCUCUCCUCUCCAAUCCGGCCGCCAUGGCCUCCCGCCGCCUCCUCUCCGCUCUCCUCCGCUCUUCAUCUUCCCGCCGACCCUUCCUCGGCCGUCUCCCUUCUUCCCCCCCGGGGGUCCCGCGCCCUUCCCCUGUUGGCUCUCUGCUCCACCGCGCCGUCCGCUACGCCGCCGCCACUGCAACACCCUCGCCACCUGCGCCGACUCCUCCUCCCAAACCGGCCUCGGGGCCCAGUGGAAAGAUCACUGACGAAUUCACCGGCGCCGGCGCGAUCGGGAAGGUAUGCCAGGUGAUCGGCGCCGUCGUCGAUGUCCGAUUUGACGAGGGGCUGCCCCCGAUCCUAACAGCGCUGGAGAUGCUCGACAACCAGAUCCGGCUCGUCCUCGAGGUCGCGCAGCAUCUGGGGGAGAACAUGGUGCGGACGAUCGCCAUGGACGGAACCCAAGGUCUCGUCCGCGGGCAGAGAGUCCUGAAAACUGGUUCGCCCAUCACUUCGGUUGCCCGGGCUACCGUUGGCCACAUUAUGAAUGUUAUUGGGGAACCGAUAGAUGAGAAGGGUGACAUCAAGACAAGUCAUUUUCUUCCCAUUCAUCGCGAGGCACCUGCUUUUGUUGAGCAGGCAACAGAACAACAGAUUCUUGUCACGGGAAUCAAGGUUGUUGAUCUUCUGGCACCUUAUCAAAGGGAUGGAAAGAUUGGUUUGUUUGGUGGUGCCGGUGUGGGUAAAACUGUACUAAUCAUGGAACCAAUCAACAAUGUUGCAAAAGCUCAUGGUGGUUUCUCUGUCUUUGCCGGUGUUGGGGAACGUACUCGUGAGGGCAAUGAUUUGUACAGAGAAAUGAUUGAGAGUGGUGUUAUUAAGCUUGGAGACAAGCAGGAUGAAAGCAAGUGUGCUCUUGCAUAUGGGCAAAUGAACGAGCCCUUGUGCACGCGUUGGUUUGACUGGGUUGACGGUUGCUGAGCACUUCCGAGAUGCUAAGGGGCAGGAUGUGCUUCUCUUUAUUGACAACAUUUUUCACUUCACACAAGCAAACUCUGAAGUGUCUGCCUUGCUUGGUCGUAUACCCUCUGCUGUUGGCUACCAACCAACCCUUGCAACUGAUCUUGGAGGGCUGCAAGAACGUAUUACAACAACAAAGAAAGGAUCUAUUACUUCAGUGCAAGCUAUUUAUGUCCCUUCUGAUGACUUGACAGAUCCGGCUCCUGCAACAACCUUUGCCCAUCUGGACGCUCGUGACAGGUUUAUAUAUGCAAUUGUUAUUCUGUAAGCUAUUUCUGAGCUCGGCAUCUAUCCUGCUGUCGACCCUCGUGACUCCAGAUCCAGAAUGCUUUCUCCACACAUGUUGGGGGAAGAACACUAUAACACUGCUCGUGGUGUUCAGAAGGUCCUCCAAAACUAUAAGAACCUACAAGAUAUCAUUGCAAUUCUGGGAAUGGAUGAACUCAGUGAAGAUGAUAAGUUGACAGUUGCUUGUGCUUGAAAGAUCUAGCGGUUCCUGAGCCAGCCUUUCCAUGUUGCUGAGGUAUUCACAGGUGCACCUGGAAAAUAUGACGAACUGAAAGAAAGUGUUAACAGCUUUCAGGGUGUUUUGGAUGGGAAGUAUGAUGACCUGCCUGAGCAGUCAUUUUGCAUGGUUGGAGGAAUCGAGGAAGUCAUCGCAAAGGCAGAGAAGAUUUCUAAGGAGGCAGCAGCAUGAUAGGAACUCACUACUAUCCAUAUUUAGUACCUUUUGAGGAUGCAGCUGGUGUUUCCUGCAUUCAACAAAUUGCAAUUUUGAAGUGGUGACUUAAAUCUUUAUGCUUCGUUAGUCCUGGGUCAGAUUUGUGGCUCUUUAGAGAUGAGAAAACAUCAUGGUCCUUCGAGGAUACAUUUGGCCCAACACGAGAAUGCAGAGGUCUGUUUGAUCAUGCACUAAGAUGGAACUUUCAAAUGUCUAUUCAAGUUAAGUAUUUGUGUGCAUUGGCUGUAAGGCAAAUGGAUUCGUUUUCAAAAGUGGUGGUGCAUGAGUUCACAUGGACAAUUAUUGGUGCUGAUCUAGUUUCUUCUUGUGGUGCAUCUUCUGGCCUCCAAGAAAUAGAACGUCCAUAUCAGCAAUUUAAUGAUCAGGGGCAGCUGGAGACUAGAAAACAAUUGCUUGCUAAUUGUGCAGUUGAUCUUUCCAUUUCUUCUGAACUUAUUAAGUCUAAGGGACUAUGAACUGCACAAGGGGAAACCUGCACUGGCCACCAAUCCUGCCAGCCUUACAUUUCUUCUUGUAGGGAGUGAUUGCUCUACUCAAAGCUGGCUUUGUGGUUGUGGAAAAGCUGCAGCAGCCUAUGCCUCUCAAAGCUGUAAUUGGCAUCUGGAAUUGCAAUUAUUGGAGCGGUGGAAUGGACUCAUUGUAAUAAUGCCUCUCAUUUAACGUUUAGAGAGAGUCCUUUUCUUGCGAUUUGCUGGAAUACUUGGAAAUGAGAGUCUUUACUCAUCAUCCUUGUCCAACCAAACUGGUGAGCAGCAAUCAUUAGAACCUGGAUAUUAUUACCACCAGCGACGCCAUCUGUUCCCUUGCAUAAUUGAAGCCCCGUUUAGGCGCUUCACAAAGUUGCGUGCCGUGUAGUGGACGCCGUUAUUAUUAUUGUACAAGGUAUUCAUAUAUUUAUCUGUAUACACAGUAAGAAAAAGAACAAUCGAAUGCAGAGUCUCUCACCAAUACGAGUGAUUAAUUACUGUUCUUCGAAUUUUAUUUUUUUUAAUGCUAAAAUUCAUGUAUGACUUC